rnacentral:rRNA from 1 species
AGAGUUUGAUCCUGGCUCAGGAUGAACGCUAGCGGCAGGCCUAACACAUGCAAGUCGAGGGGCAGCGCGGUGCAGCAAUGCACUGGCGGCGACCGGCGUACGGGUGCGUAACGCGUAUGCAACCUGCCCCGCACCGGGGGAUAGCCCGCCGAAAGGCGGAUUAAUACCCCAUGGCCCCGGGGGCCCGCAUGGGCAUCCGGGUAAAGCCUUGGCGGUGCGGGAUGGGCAUGCGUGCCAUUAGCUGGCUGGUGGGGUAACGGCCCACCAGGGCGACGAUGGCUAGGGGGUCUGAGAGGAUGGUCCCCCACACUGGUACUGAGACACGGACCAGACUCCUACGGGAGGCAGCAGUGAGGAAUAUUGGUCAAUGGGCGGAAGCCUGAACCAGCCAUGCCGCGUGCGGGAGGAAGGCCCUACGGGUUGUAAACCGCUUUUCCCCGGGAAGAAUAACCCCGACGAGUCGGGGGAUGCCGGUACCGGGGGAAUAAGGAUCGGCUAACUCCGUGCCAGCAGCCGCGGUAAUACGGAGGAUCCGAGCGUUAUCCGGAUUUACUGGGUUUAAAGGGUGCGUAGGCGGCCCUGCAAGUCAGCGGUGAAAUGUGGCGGCUCAACCGUUUCGCUGCCGCUGAUACUGUAAGGCUUGGAUGCGGUCGAGGCGGGUGAAAAAUUGUGGUGGUAGCGGUGAAAAGACAUAAAUAUCACCAAGUACCGACUAUAGCUAAACGCUACUUCCACGGUCCCCAAUCCACGCUGAAGAUAUAAAACAUUGUGAUUUAAUGUGAAUAAAUACUUUGAAUACCUAUUCCCUAAACUAAGAUUGC